AGAGUUUGAUCAUGGCUCAGAUUGAACGCUGGCGGCGUGCUUAACACAUGCAAGUCGAGCGAGAAAGCUCUCUUCGGAGAGUGAGUAGAGCGGCGCACGGGUGAGUAGCGCGUGGAUAAUCUACCCUGAAGAUCGGGAUAACAGUUGGAAACGACUGCUAAUACCGUAUAUCCUGCAUAUUUAACUUUAUGUGGUAAAGAUGGCCUCUAUUUAUAAGCUGUCGCUUUGGGAUGAGUCCGCGUCUCAUUAGCUUGUUGGUGGGGUAAUGGCCUACCAAGGCAACGAUGAGUAGCUGGUCUGAGAGGAUGAUCAGCCACACUGGGACUGAAACACGGCCCAGACUCCUACGGGAGGCAGCAGUGGGGAAUAUUGCGCAAUGGGGGAAACCCUGACGCAGCGACGCCGCGUGUAGGAAGAAGGCCUUCGGGUCGUAAACUACUGUCAGGAGGGAAGAAACUGGUAGGGGCAUCAUACACCCUAUCNGGGACGG
rnacentral:rRNA from 1 species